rnacentral:rRNA from 1 species
UAAUCCACGCCGUUAAACGAUGAGUCUUAAGUGUUAGGGGGUUUUUCCCCUGUUAAGUGCUGCAGAUAAUGCAUUAAGCAAUCUGCCUGGGGGGUACGGUCGCAAGACUGAAACUCAAAGGAAUUGACGGGGGGCCGCACAAGCGGUGGAGCAUGUGGUUUAAUUUGAAUCAACGCGAAGAACCUUACCAGGUCUUGACAUCCUGGACAAUCCUAGAGAUAGAACGUCCCCUUCGGGGGCAGAGUGACAGGUGGUGCAUGGUCGUCGUCAGCUCGUGUCGUGAGAUGUUGGGUUAAGUCCCGCAACGAGCGCAACCCUUGAUCUUAGUUGCCAGCAUUCAGUUGGGCACUUUAAGGUGACUGCCGGUGACAAACCGGAGGAAGGUGGGGAUGACGUCAAAUCAUCAUGGCCCUUAUGACCUGGGCUACACACGUGCUACAAUGGACAGAACAAAGGGCAGCGAAACCGCGAGGUUAAGCCAAUCCCACAAAUCUGUUUUCAGUUCGGAUCGCAGUUUGCAACUUGAAUGCGUGAAGCUGGAAUCGCUAGUAAUCGCGGAUCAGCAUGCCGCGGUGAAUACGUUUCCGGGCCUUGUAUACACCGCCCGUCACACCACUAGAGUCGGUAACACCC